AUACGUAGGUGGCAAGCGUUAUCCGGAAUUAUUGGGCGUAAAGAGGGAGCAGGCGGCAGCAAGGGUCUGUGGUGAAAGCCUGAAGCUUAACUUCAGUAAGCCAUAGAAACCAGGCAGCUAGAGUGCAGGAGAGGAUCGUGGAAUUCCAUGUGUAGCGGUGAAAUGCGUAGAUAUAUGGAGGAACACCAGUGGCGAAGGCGCCGAUCUGGCCUGCAACUGACGCUCAGUCCCGAAAGCGUGGGGAGCAAAUAGGAUUAGAUACCCUAGUAGUCCACGCCGUAAACGAUGAGUACUAAGUGUUGGAUGUCAAAGUUCAGUGCUGCAGUUAACGCAAUAAGUACUCCGCCUGAGUAGUACGUUCGCAAGAAUGAAACUCAAAUGAAUUGACGGGG
rnacentral:rRNA from 1 species